UGGCGGACGGGUGAGUAGCGCGUAAGAACUUGCCCUUUAGACUGGGAUAACAGAGGGAAACUUCUGAUAAUACUGGAUAAGUUAGUAUAUCGCAUGAUAUGCAAAUGAAAGCUACGGCACUAAAGGAGAGCUUUGCGUCCUAUUAGCUAGUUGGUAAGGUAAGAGCUUACCAAGGCGAUGAUAGGUAGCCGGCCUGAGAGGGUGGACGGCCACAAGGGGACUGAGAUACGGCCCUUACUCCUACGGGAGGCAGCAGUA
rnacentral:rRNA from 1 species